rnacentral:rRNA from 1 species
AUGCCCCAGAACGAUGCUUCACACACACAUUUCAUCGAUCCCAUUCCUUUCUCCUCUUCUCAUCUCAAUGCCAAUUCAUCCUCGCCGUGCAUUGGAUCAUCGGAUCAGAUCAUAGGUCCACCUAGUAAGCAUCAUUGGUUAGCCUCCCAUGAUAGUAAUACCGAUUUCACCGCAAGAUCGCCGGCCGGCCAGCGACUGACUGAGUCCGGUGAAGCUAAGCUAGCGGUGGUCAGCAGGGCGGCCAUGGGCGUCCGCAUCUUCGAGGACCUGGGCACGGUCGAGAGCCGGCUGCUGCGGCUGGAGGUGGUGGUGGUGCUGAGCGCGAUGGUGCUGGCGGCGCUGGUGCUGUACGGCUCCACGCGGCGCCGGAGCAGCGACCGGCUCCUCCGCGGCGUCAUGUGGAUGGCCUACUCGCUCUCCUACGUCGUCGUCACCUACGCCGUGGGCAUCAUCCAGGACGGGCCCUUCCACGGCGAGACCUUCGUGCUGUGGGCGGCGGCGCUGCUGCUCAUCCAGGCCAGCGCGUACGCGGCGCCCGUGCACAGCCGCCGCGACGUGGACCAGCGCAAGAAGCUGCUGCUGCAGCACGUCCUCCAGACGGCGCUCGUGCUCUGGCUCGUCCUCAACGCCACCGGCACCAACGCCAGCUAUCGCGCCGCCAUCUGGGCCUUCUGGAGCCUCAACGUGCUCAAGACCGCCGCCAAGAUCGUCGAGAUGAUCAAGGCCAGCCUCCCCGACCGCUCCGUCAAGGUCGUCGCCGAGUACAUGGACGUAGAGGAGUCCCUCUCCGCCACCGCCGCCGACCAGCGGCCGCCCGACCCCGGGACAAUGGCAGGGUACAAGUACCUCUUCCACGGCGAGGACACCAUGGAGCUGAACCACGAGUUCGGCCGCCUGUCCCGGGAGGAGAUCCUGGUGCAGAGCACCUGCAAGUCCGUCGUCACCAUCGACCAGGUGUACCGGUGGAUCGACGCGCAGGGGUACAGCGACGUCGAGAAGGACAUGGCCAAGGACUUCUGCCUCGCGUUCGCGCUCUUCAAGCUGCUCAAGCGCCGCUUCUACGGCUACGUCCCGGCGGAGGCUGGCUCGGCCAAGGCGUUGAGCCUCGUCCUGGACGGCCUCAUCCACCAGCAGCACCCGCAGUCGCACCACCACAACCACCACCGGGACAUCGCCACCGGCCCCGACGCCGCGUUCCGGGUCGUCGAGGCGGAGCUGGCCUUCCUCUACGACUUCUUCUACACCCGGAACAUCGUGCUGGUGGGCGUCAGGACGUACAUCUGCAUCGCCGUCGUCGUGCUGGCGCUGACCAUGUGGACGGCGUUCUUCGGCACGCUCGGCCCCGACUACCGCCGCCUCCGGAUCGGCGUCAAGGACCUCGACCGCUCCGUCACGGUGGUGGUGAUCGUGAUCACCGCGGCGCUCGAGAUGUGCCAGGCGCUGGCGGCCUUCUCCAACAACUGGAGGUACAUCAAGACGGUGUACCGCUGCGUGCGCGACGGCCAGCCCUGGCAGAAGAAGCGGCGCGGCGGGCACCUCUGGUGGAAGGAGAGCCUCGCGCCGCCGGACGCGAGGUACUGGGAGGACAAGAUCGGGGAGUACGUGCUGCUGAAGCGGUUCGCGCACCGCCCGCUCAACCUGCUCUCGUGGCUCACGCUCUUCCUGGUGGAGCCGCGGCGGCAGGGGCAGAAGCGGGAGCGGAGGAAGGAGCUGCCGCCGCCGGUCCGGCGCGCCGUGCUCGUCUCGCUCAGGGCGAGCCGGGGACGCCUCAGCAACGGCGUCUCGGCAUUGCGGAGGCACGGCCUGCUGCCGCGGCUGGCGUGGGCGUGCGAGUUCUCCAAGUCCACCGACCAGAUCCUGGUGUGGCACAUCGCCACCACGCGCUGCGACUGGGACAGGCGUCGCCGCGGCGGUCAACAUGGCGGCGACGAUCGCACCGACGACCGCACCGACGAGCACCGGCUGGUGGCGACGAAGCUGUCCAACUACUGCGCGUACCUGGUGUCGUUCGUGCCGGAGAUGCUGCCGGACCCGAGCUACAACGCGGAGCAGAUCUUCGACACGACGGUGCGGCAGGCGCGGUGCCACCUCGCCGGCUGCAAGAACAAGGACGAGAUCCUCGCGAGGCUGCACAUGAUCGAGGCCGACGAGCAGAAGUACAUGGAGGGCGUGGAGGCCGGCGGCGGCGCGGAGGAGAGGGCGGGGAGCAGCACCAUCGUCGAGAAGGCGGCGCUGCUGGGCGGGCAGCUCGGGGCGGCCGUGGGCGAGGACGACGGGCGGCGGUGGGCGGUGCUGGCCGAGUUCUGGGCCGAAUUCCUGCUGUUCCUCGCGCCGUCGGACAACGUGGACAUCCACGCCGAUGUGCUCGGCGCCGGCGGCGAGUUCAUGACGCAGCUGUGGGCGCUGCUCGCCCACGCCGGCGUGCUUGAGCGCCCGGCGGCCGGUGCCGCCGCGACGCGUGAUCGGGGUUAG